UGACCAUGUCCGUGAUGACCAUGUCCAUGCCCGUGUCCAUGGUGACCAUGUCCGUGACCACCAUUUUCAUGACCGCUGUCCAUGGCCAUG